rnacentral:rRNA from 1 species
UAAGCUAGAGUAUNUCAGAGGGGGGUAGAAUUCCACGUGUAGCAGUGAAAUGCGUAGAGAUGUGGAGGAAUACCGAUGGCGAAGGCAGCCCCCUGGGAUAAUACUGACGUUCAUGCUCGAAAGCGUGGGUAGCAANCAGGAUUAGACACCCUGGUAGUCCACGCCCUAAACGAUGUCAAUUAGCUGUUGGGCAACAUGAUUGCUUAGUAGCGUAGCUAACGCGUGAAAUUGACCGCCUGGGGAGUACGGUCGCAAGAUUAAAACUCAAAGGAAUUGACGGGGACCCGCACAAGCGGUGGAUGAUGUGGAUUAAUUCGAUGCAACGCGAAGAACCUUACCUGGUCUUGACAUGUACGGAAUCUUCCAGAGACGGAAGAGUGCCUUCGGGAGCCGUAACACAGGUGCUGCAUGGCUGUCGUCAGCUCGUGUCGUGAGAUGUUGGGUUAANNNNNNCAACGAGCGCAACCCUUGUCAUUAGUUGCCACCAUUCAGUUGGGCACUCUAAUGAGACUGCCGGUGACAAACCGGAGGAAGGUGGGGAUGACGUCAAGUCCUCAUGGCCCUUAUGACCAGGGCUUCACACGUCAUACAAUGGUCGGUACAGAGGGUAGCCAAGCCGCGAGGUGGAGCCAAUCUCAGAAAACCGAUCGUAGUCCGGAUUGCACUCUGCAACUCGAGUGCAUGAAGUCGGAAUCGCUAGUAAUCGCAGGUCAGCAUACUGCGGUGAAUACGUUCCCGGGUCU